rnacentral:piRNA from 1 species
UAGAUGAAGGUGAAAACAAGGU